GGCUGUUAGAAGAGGAGGGGGAGGGGAGAGGAAGGGAGAAGGGAAGAGGGAGAGAAGCACAGAGAGACUCAGAGGCCUGCAGCCCCCUGGGCCAGUGCUUGAGAAACAAUGUGCACUAAUGGGGCUUUGGAGGGUGGCAACAGGAGGCCCGGUGAAAUCCCCGGUGAGAGCAGCCUUUUCGCCGUGGCCUGCCGUGAAGCACUAUGGCAGCACCCACACCUGCCAGGACUGAAGAUGAAGAAACCGAGGCCCAGAGGGACUGACGCACUUGCUCGAGACCUACCCCAAGCCAGUCUGUUCUCUUAACGUCUAUUCUGCAGUUUGAUAUGUGACCAUUCACAGUGAGCUUGGUCAAUACAAAGAUGUUCCCAGAAACAUGUGUCAUCGUUAUAUAUUUAAUGUGCAGGAGAAAAAAAAUUAAAGUA
rnacentral:lncRNA from 1 species